GUUUGAUACGAUAUUUAUCCACUCGAGACAGUUAAAUUUUCAAAUUUAAAACGCGAGGCUCGCCGAGCGUUUUAAAUAUUUAAAAUUUAAUUGUCGAGAGUGGAUAAAAAAGAGGACGAAAGAUACCAGAGGGACAGUCAAACUCAUAAAUAGAAAAGAACUGACAACGCCAUGGCUAAAAAUGAAAAGGACAAACAGACAAACAAUAGUACACACGACACAACAUAGAAAACUAAAGAAUAAACAACACGAACCCCACCAAAAACUAGGGUUGAUCUCAGGUGCUCCGGAAGGGUAAGCAGAUGUGGAACCCGUAGUCUUGCUAAUAAGAUAACAAAUCCGGUAAAUGGUCUAAUUCGGUAGGUCAUAUUUGUGAAAAGGAAGGGGAUUGUAGUUACGACGUAAGGAACAUAUCCGAUAUCAUUUGUGAAACGGUUAUUCCAUAACGAUCAACCAAUUCGUGAUGGCGUCCCUAAAAUGUACGAAGAGAUGAUUUCAACUUCACAAUUUAGAACUCUUGAUUUAAUAGAUAUCGUAUUACACGAGAUUUGGUGGUGGGAUCUGUUUCUCUAAUGAUUUUCAAAUAAGACGAAGGCAAAUUUAUUCCUUCUUUGCGACUGAUCUGCAAAAUGAUGUUCUUUCUAUGUGACGUCAUCAAGCAUGGUGGCUUUUUUUCAUGCCGUUACAAUUGGAAGUUCAGAGGAAAACAAGAAAAUUCGACGUCCUAAUCGGAUUUUAACCAAUAAAGAACUGAGAUCAAACGAACCACACGUUGAUUAAAUUUUUUAAUGCAAUGAGUGCAGAAAGGGAUAAAUUGACGAAGAAUUAGAGAAAUAUAUUUAUCAAUGAGGAAUAUUGAGCUCAAACGUGUCUGGAAAAAACAAUAAUAGUUCACUGGGUUGAAUAUACCAAUUAUUAAAUAACAUUAUAUGUUUAACG
rnacentral:lncRNA from 1 species